rnacentral:lncRNA from 1 species
GUGGUCUACCAGAGAGGGCACAUGUGCCUCAAUUGGCCUAUAGCAUAGCGACUCAUUAUCCUUCCACCGCUGGUGGCGGGCGAUACUCGCUGCUCUGUGAAGCCAGCCUCACGCAAUGUCCGCCACUUUAGGUGUUGGGAUGCAAAGGCUUUCUCCAAGGCAUCCGAAACCCACUACACAACUUGGAAUGGGUGGUCCACAGUUUGUAGCACUAGACCCAGGCACAUGCACCACAAUUGACAUCCACACUACCUUAUUGCCCCCGCUCGGGUUACAAGCAAUCGCUACUUGCUCAGCGAGUGAGGGGGUUCAAGACUACCUAUUUAAGGUGGUGUUGUACUCUAUGAGCCGACAGUGUGGUAUUUACCAACUACAAAUAGUGUCAUGCAUGUGACUUGCUAGUUGACAAUGUCUGUUGUCGAGCUAGAUGUGGGCUAUGGAUGAAGCACAUUAGGAUAUAGUAGGCCUAUUUUGUUUUUUGUUGUUUUUGGGCCACUAUGGACUUUAUGUUGAUGUUGUGAAAUUUUUUCCUGUGUUUCCUCUUCCUACGAUGUGGAAAGUGGGUGCGUCAGAGAAGAAAGAAAGAGUAGCUAGCAUUGAUUUUACGUCAUACCAUUGAGAACACUAAUCAGAAGCAGAAGCAACAAUAUUUCAUACAUAUACAACACUUGUAAUCCAUAUAAACAACUUUCCUUUAAAAUAUAAUAUAAACCACUUGAUUUAUAUCCUGGGUCGGCUAUCUCCACAAAGGGCAAGAAAACGCACCAAGUUUGUAGUAUAGAACUAAAAGUGUCGAUUCUCACGAUUUCUUCCCAACAUAUACAAACUAGACAGUAAUCACAUAAAAUAAAGAAAUAUGUGUUAACACGAACUUAUAGCAUGUAUUUCAACAUAUAGAUUGUUGAUUAUUAUGGUAGAUUAUAUAAAAUAGGGGUUCCCGAAGAAAUACAUAAAAACAAGAGCAUUAAAAGUUCCUUUUCAGAUCUGGCUAUCUAGUAAAAGGAGUUGGAGUAACUGAGUUUCCAAAUUUGUGACGUAGCUCUAUAGAAGGAAUAUAAAUACGUUGGAAAAAUUCUACAAGGAAAGGUCUAAUACAAGUAGGGCUAAGAAAAACUCAAUGAGGCUUUGGUCACAUGGUCACAAAACUUGAGACAAGAAACACGAAGACACCAAGGUAAUUAGUAUGAGAGUUUUCCAAAUUUGGUGUCUUGAUGUAGAAAAAAUAAAUAUAUGACAAACUUGUUUUUUCGCAAGGCAUGGAUAAAUAAGUGGGGGUGAACAAUAAAUUUCAUCCUAGAUUUAGAAGGAAUAAAUAUAUCACUAAAUACGUUUUUUCACAAUGCCAAGUUAAUCAGGUGGGAGCGAGAAACAAUUCUAGCGAGGCUAGUUUGUACUAGCCCAAAACUACAUACAACAGAGGAAAAAUGAAGAAAAUGAUGGUCUACCAAAUAGGGCGCAUGAGCCUUAAGGUGCACCUAGAGGGAAGUAGAAGAAAUAAAUAUAUAAUAGCAUAUGUUUUUCGCAAUGCAAGGUAAAGUGUAGAUGUGCUCUAACUGGGCUUAGAUUGCAGCGACACAUUAUGCAUCUACAAGGCUUGGUUGCACAUGGAAAAAGAUAGAGAGAGAAAUGUAGACGCAGGACCGGGAGAAAAACAUUCAAUGAGACAUGAUUGCACGGACAUAGAACUAGAUAUAAGACAAGAGUUAAAGAAAAAUAAAGGAACUAAAUUUUCUUCUACACACUCAGCAUGAAUGGAGUUGUAGUAUCUGAGAUCAAAAUUUAAUUUAUUCCAAGAUGCAGAACAAAAACGUGAUACUCGUAAUGGUUACAUAGGAACAAAAGUAGAUAAGAAAAAUAGCAAAAAGAUAGUGGUCUACCAGAGAGGGCACAUGUGCCUCAAUUGGCCUAUAGCAUAGCGACUCAUUAUCCUUCCACCGCUGGUGGCGGGCGGUACUCGCUGCUCUAUGAAGCCAGCCUCACGCAAUGUCCGCCACUUUAGGUGUUGGGAUGCAAAGGCUUUCGCCAAGGCAUCCGAAACCCACUACACAACUUGGAAUGGGUGGUCCACAGUUUGUAGCACUAGACCCAGGCACAUGCACCACAAUUGACAUCCACACUACCUUAUUGCCCCCGCUCGGGUUACAAGCAAUCGCUACUUGCUCAGCGAGUGAGGGGGUUCAAGACUACCUAUUUAAGGUGGUGUUGUACUCUAUGAGCCGACAGUGUGGUAUUUACCAACUACAAAUAGUGUCAUGCAUGUGACUUGCUAGUUGACAAUGUCUGUUGUCGAGCUAGAUGUGGGCUAUGGAUGAAGCACAUUAGGAUAUAGUAGGCCUAUUUUGUUUUUUGUUAUUUUUGGGCCACUAUGGACUUUAUGUUGAUGUUGUGAAAUUUUUUCUUGUGUUUCCUCUUCCUACGAUGUGGAAAGUGGGUGCGUCAGAGAAGAAAGAAAGAGUAGCUAGCAUUGAUUUUCCGUCAUACCAUUGAGAACACUAAUCAGAAGCAGAAGCAACAAUAUUUCAUACAUAUACAACACUUGUAAUCCAUAUAAACAACUUUCCUUUAAAAUAUAAUGUAAACCACAUGAUUUAUAUCUAGGGUCGGCUAUCUCCACAAAGGGCAAGAAAACGCUCCAAGUUUGUAGUAUAGAACUAAAAGUGUCGAUUCUCACGAUUUCUUCCCGACAUAUACAAACUAGACAGUAAUCACAUAAAAUAAAGAAAUAUGUGUUAACACGAACUUAUAGCAUGUAUUUCAACAUAUAGAUUGUUGAUUAUUAUGGUAGAUUAUAUAAAAUAGGGGUUCCCGAAGAAAUACGUAAAAACAAGAGCAUUAAAAUUUCCUUUUCAGAUCUGGCUAUCUAGUAAAAGGAGUUGGAGUAACUGAGUUUCCAAAUUUGUGACGUAGCUCUAUAGAAGGAAUAUAAAUACGUUGGAAAAAUUCUACAAGGAAAGGUCUAAUACAAGUAGGGCUAAGAAAAACUCAAUGAGGCUUUGGUCGCAUGGUCACAAAACUUGAGACAAGAAACACGAAGACACCAAGGUAAUUAGUAUGAGAGUUUUCCAAAUUUGGUGUCUUGAUGUAGAAAAAAUAAAUAUAUGACAAACUUGUUUUUUCGCAAGGCAUGGAUAAAUAAGUGGGGGUGAACAAUAAAUUCAUCCUAGAUUUAGAAGGAAUAAAUAUAUCACUAAAUACGUUUUUUCACAAUGCCAAGUUAAUCAGGUGGGAGCGAGAAACAAUUCUAGCGAGGCUAGGUUGUACUAGCCCAAAACUACAUACAACAGAGGAAAAAUGAAGAAAAUGGUGGUCUACCAAAUAGGGCGCAUGAGCCUUAAGGUGCACCUAGAGGGAAGUAGAAGAAAUAAAUAUAUAAUAGCAUAUGUUUUUCGCAAUGCAAGGUAAAGUGUAGAUGUGCUCUAACUGGGCUUAGAUUGUAGCGACACAUUAUGCAUCUACAAGGCUUGGUUGCUCAUGGAAAAAGAUAGAGACAGAAAUGUAGACGCAGGACCGGGAGAAAAACAUUCAAUGAGACGUGAUUGCACGGACAUAGAACUAGUUAUAAGACAAGAGUUAAAGAAAAAUAAAGGAACUAAAUUUUCUUCUGCACACUAAGCAUGAAUGGAGUUGUAGUAUCUGAGAUCAAAAUUUAAUUUAUUCCAAGAUGCAGAACAAAAACGUGAUACUCGUAAUGGUUACAUAGGAACAAAAGUAGAUAAGAAAAAUAGCAAAAAGAUAGUGGUCUACCAGAGAGGGCACAUGUGCCUCAAUUGGCCUAUAGCAUAGCGACUCAUUAUCCUUCCACCGCUGGUGGCGGGCGGUACUCGCUGCUCUGUGAAGCCAACCUCACGCAAUGUCCGCCACUUUAGGUGUUGGGAUGCAAAGGCUUUCGCCAAGGCAUCCGAAACCCACUACACAACUUGGAAUGGGUGGUCCACAGUUUGUAGCACUAGACCCAGGCACAUGCACCACAAUUAACAUUCACACUACCUUAUUGCCCCCGCUCGGGUUACAAGCAAUCGCUACUUGCUCAGCGAGUGAGGGGGUUCAAGACUACCUAUUUAAGGUGGUGUUGUACUGUAUGAGCCGGCGGUGUGGUAUUUACCAACUACAAAUAGUGUCAUGCAUGUGACUUGCUAGUUGACAAUGUCUGUUGUCGAGCUAGAUGUGGGCUAUGGAUGAAGCACAUUAGGAUAUAGUAGGCCUAUUUUGUUUUUUGUUGUUUUUGGGACACUAUGGACUUUAUGUUGAUGUUGUGAAAUUUUUUCUUGUGUUUCCUUUUCCUACGAUGUGGAAAGUGGGUGCGUCAGAGAAGAAAGAAAGAGUGGCUAGCAUUGAUUUUACGUCAUACCGUUGAGAACACUAAUCAGAAGCAGAAGCAACAAUAUUUCAUACAUAUACAACACUUGUAAUCCAUAUAAACAACUUUCCUUUAAAAUAUAAGAUAAACCACAUGAUUUAUAUCCUGGGUCGGCUAUCUCCACAAAGGGCAAGAAAACGCUCCAAGUUUGUAGUAUAGAACUAAAAGUGUCGAUUCUCACGAUUUCUUCCCGACAUAUACAAACUAGACAGUAAUCACAUAAAAUAAAGAAAUAUGUGUUAACAAGAACUUAUACCAUGUAUUUCAACAUAUAGAUUGUUGAUUAUUAUGGUAGAUUAUAUAAAAUAGGGGUUCCCGAAGCAAUACAUAAAAACAAGAGCAUUAAAAUUUCCUUUUCAGAUUUGGCUAUCUGGUAAAAGGAGUUGGAGUAACUGAGUUUCCAAAUUUGUGCCGUAGCUCUAUAGAAGGAAUAUAAAUACGUUGGAAAAAUUCUAUAAGGAAAGGUUUAAUACAAGUAGGGCUAAGAAAAACUCAAUGAGGCUUUGGUCGCAUGGUCACAAAACUUGAGACAAGAAACACGAAGACACCAAGGUAAUUAGUAUGAGAGUUUUCCAAAUUUGGUGUCUUGAUGUAGAAAAAUAAAUAUAUGAAAAACUUGUUUUUUCGCAAGGCAUGGAUAAAUAAGUGGGGGUGAGCAAUAAAUUUCAUCCUUGAUUUAGAAGGAAUAAAUAUAUCACUAAAUACGUUUUUUCACAAUGCCAAGUUAAUCAGGUGGGACCGAGAAACAAUUCUAGCGAGGCUAGGUUGUACUAGCCCAAAACUACAUACUACAGAGGAAAAAUGAAGAAAAUGAUGGUCUACCAAAUAUGGCGCAUGAGCCUUAAGGUGCACCUAGAGGGAAGUAGAAGAAAUAAAUAUAUAAUAGCAUAUGUUUUUCGCAAUGCAAGGUAAAGUGUAGAUGUGCUCUAACUAGGCUUAGAUUGCAGCGACACAUUAUGCAUCUACAAGGCUUGGUUGCACAUGGAAAAAGAUAGAGAGAGAAAUGUAGACGCAGGACCGAGAGAAAAACAUUCAAUGAGACGUGAUUGCACGGACAUAGAACUAGAUAUAAGACAAGAGUUAAAGAAAAAUAAAGGAACUAAAUUUUCUUCUGCACACUAAGCAUGAAUGGAGUUGUAGUAUCUGAGAUCAAAAUUUAAUUUAUUCCAAGAUGCAGAACAAAAACGUGAUACUCGUAAUGGUUACAUAGGAACAAAAGUAGAUAAGAAAAAUAGCAAAAAGAUAGUGGUCUACCAGAGAGGGCACAUGUGCCUCAAUUGGCCUAUAGCAUAGCGACUCAUUAUCCUUCCACCGCUGGUGGCGGGCGGUACUCGCUGCUCUGUGAAGCCAGCCUCACGCAAUGUCCGCCACUUUAGGUGUUGGGAUGCAAAGGCUUUCGCCAAGGCAUCCGAAACCCACUACACAACUUGGAAUGGGUGUUCCACAAUUUGUAGCACUAGACCCAGGCACAUGCACCACAAUUGACAUCCACACUACCUUAUUGCCUCCGCUCGGGUUACAAGCAAUCGCUACUUGCUCAGCGAGUGAGGGGGUUCAAGACUACCUAUUUGAGGUGGUGUUGUACUCUAUGAGCCGGCGGUGUGGUAUUUACCAACUACAAAUAGUGUCAUGCAUGUGACUUGCUAGUUGACAAUGUCUGUUGUCGAGCUAGAUGUGGGCUAUGGAUGAAGCACAUUAGGAUAUAGUAGGCCUAUUUUGUUUUUUGUUGUUUUUGGGCCACUAUGGACUUUAUGUUGAUGUUGUGAAAUUUUUUCUUGUGUUUCCUCUUCAUACGAUGUGGAAAGUGGGUGCCGUCAGAGAAGAAAGAAAGAGCGGCUAGCAUUGAUUUUACGUCAUACCAUUGAGAACACUAAUUAGAAGCAGAAGCAACAAUAUUUCAUACAUAUACAACACUUGUAAUCCAUAUAAACAACAUUCCUUUAAAAUAUAAUAUAAACCACAUGAUUUAUAUCCUGGGUCAGCUAUCUCCACAAAGGGCAAGAAAACGCUCCAAGUUUGUAGUAUAGAACUAAAAGUGUCGAUUCUCACGAUUUCUUCCCGACAUAUACAAACUAGACAGUAAUCACAUAAAAUAAAGAAAUAUGUGUUAACACGAACUUAUAACAUGUAUUUCAACAUAUAGAUUGUUGAUUAUUAUGGUAGAUUAUAUAAAAUAGGGGUUCCCGAAGAAAUACAUAAAAACAAGAGCAUUAAAAUUUCCUUUUCAGAUCUGGCUAUCUGGUAAAAGGAGUUGGAGUAACUGAGUUUCCAAAUUUGUGACGUAGCUCUAUAGAAGGAAUAUAAAUACGUUGGAAAAAUUCUACAAGGAAAGGUUUAAUACAAGUAGGGCUAAGAAAAACUCAAUGAGGCUUUGGUCGCAUGGUCACAAAACUUGAGACAAGAAACACGAAGACACCAAGGUAAUUAGUAUGAGAGUUUUCCAAAUUUGGUGUCUUGAUGUAGAAAAAAUAAAUAUAUGACAAACUUGUUUUUUCGCAAGGCAUGGAUAAAUAAGUGGGGGCGAGCAAUAAAUUUCAUCCUAGAUUUAGAAGGAAUAAAUAUAUCACUAAAUACGUUUUUUCAUAAUGCCAAGUUAAUCAGGUGGGAGCGAGAAACAAUUCUAGCGAGGUUAGGUUGUACUAGCCCAAAACUACAUACAACAGAGGAAAAAUGAAGAAAAUGAUGGUCUACCAAAUAUGGCGCAUGAGCCUUAAGGUGCACGUAGAGGGAAGUAUAAGAAAUAAAUAUAUAAUAGCAUAUGUUUUUCGCAAUGCAAGGUAAAGUGUAGAUGUGCUCUAACUGGGCUUAGAUUGCAGCGACACAUUAUGCAUCUACAAGGCUUGGUUGCACAUGGAAAAAGAUAGAGAGAGAAAUGUAGACACAGGACCGGGAGAAAAACAUUCAAUGAGACAUGAUUGCACGGACAUAGAACUAGAUAUAAGACAAGAGUUAAAGAAAAAUAAAGGAACUAAAUUUUCUUCUACACACUCAGCAUGAAUGGAGUUGUAGUAUCUGAGAUCAAAAUUUAAUUUAUUCCAAGAUGCAGAACAAAAACGUGAUACUCGUAAUGGUUACAUAGGAACAAAAGUAGAUAAGAAAAAUAGCAAAAAGAUAGUGGUCUACCAGAGAGGGCACAUGUGCCUCAAUUGGCCUAUAGCAUAGCGACUCAUUAUCCUUCCACCGCUGGUGGCGGGCGGUACUCGCUGCUCUGUGAAGCCAGCCUCACGCAAUGUCCGCCACUUUAGGUGUUGGGAUGCAAAGGCUUUCGCCAAGGCAUCCGAAACCCACUACACAACUUGGAAUGGGUGUUCCACAGUUUGUAGCACUAGACCAUGGCACAUGCACCACAAUUGACAUCCACACUACCUUAUUGCCCCCGCUCGGGUUACAAGCAAUCACUACUUGCUCAUCAAGUGAGGGGGUUCAAGACUACCUAUUUAAGGUGGUGUUGUACUCUAUGAGCCGACGGUGUGGUAUUUACCAACUACAAAUAGUGUCAUGCAUGUGACUUGCUAGUUGACAAUGUCUGUUGUCGAGCUAGAUGUGGGCUAUGGAUGAAGCACAUUAGGAUAUAGUAGGCCUAUUUUGUUUUUUGUUGUUUUUGGGCCACUAUGGACUUUAUGUUGACGUUGUGAAAUUUUUUCUUGUGUUUCCUCUUCCUACGAUGUGGAAAGUGGGUGCCGUCAGAGAAGAAAGAAAGAGUGGCUAGCAUUGAUUUUACGUCAUACCAUUGAGAACACUAAUCAGAAGCAGAAGCAACAAUAUUUCAUACAUAUACAACACUUGUAAUCCAUAUAAACAACUUUCCUUUAAAAUAUAAUAUAAACCACAUGAUUUAUAUCCUGGGUCGGCUAUCUCCACAAAGGGCAAGAAAACGCUCCAAGUUUGUAGUAUAGAACUAAAAGUGUCGAUUCUCACGAUUUCUUCCCGACAUAUACAAACUAGACAGUAAUCACAUAAAAUAAAGAAAUAUGUGUUAACACGAACAUAUAGCAUGUAUUUCAACAUAUAGAUUGUUGAUUAUUAUGGUAGAUUAUAUAAAAUAGGGGUUCCCGAAGAAAUACAUAAAAACAAGAGCAUUGAAAUUUCCUUUUCAGAUCUGGCUAUCUGGUAAAAGGAGUUGGAGUAACUGAGUUUCCAAAUUUGUGACGUAGCUCUAUAGAAGGAAUAUAAAUACGUUGGAAAAAUUCUACAAGGAAAGGUUUAAUACAAGUAGGGCUAAGAAAAACUCAAUGAGGCUUUGGUCGCAUGGUCACAAAACUUGAGACAAGAAACACGAAGACACCAAGGUAAUUAGUAUGAGAGUUUUCCAAAUUUGGUGUCUUGAUGUAGAAAAAAUAAAUAUAUGACAAACUUGUUUUUUCGCAAGGCAUGGAUAAAUAAGUGGGGGCGAGCAAUAAAUUUCAUCCUAGAUUUAGAAGGAAUAAAUAUAUCACUAAAUACGUUUUUUCAUAAUGCCAAGUUAAUCAGGUGGGAGCGAGAAACAAUUCUAGCGAGGCUAGGUUGUACUAGCCCAAAACUACAUACAACAGAGGAAAAAUGAAGAAAAUGAUGGUCUACCAAAUAUGGCGCAUGAGCCUUAAGGUGCACCUAGAGGGAAGUAGAAGAAAUAAAUAUAUAAUAGCAUAUGUUUUUCGCAAUGCAAGGUAAAGUGUAGAUGUGCUCUAACUGGGCUUAGAUUGCAGCGACACAUUAUGCAUCUACAAGGCUUGGUUGCACAUGGAAAAAGAUAGAGAGAGAAAUGUAGACACAGGACCGGGAGAAAAACAUUCAAUGAGACAUGAUUGCACGGACAUAGAACUAGAUAUAAGACAAGAGUUAAAGAAAAAUAAAGGAACUAAAUUUUCUUCUGCACACUCAGCAUGAAUGGAGUUGUAGUAUCUGAGAUCAAAAUUUAAUUUAUUCCAAGAUGCAGAACAAAAACGUGAUACUCGUAAUGGUUACAUAGGAACAAAAGUAGAUAAGAAAAAUAGCAAAAAGAUAGUGGUCUACCAGAGAGGGCACAUGUGCCUCAAUUGGCCUAUAGCAUAGCGACUCAUUAUCCUUCCACCGCUGGUGGCGGGCGGUACUCGCUGCUCUGUGAAGCCAGCCUCACGCAAUGUCCGCCACUUUAGGUGUUGGGAUGCAAAGGCUUUCGCCAAGGCAUCCGAAACCCACUACACAACUUGGAAUGGGUGGUCCAAAGUUUGUAGCACUAGACCCAGGCACAUGCACCACAAUUGACAUCCACACUACCUUAUUGCCCCCGCUCGGGUUACAAGCAAUCGCUACUUGCUCAGCGAGUGAGGGGGUUCAACACUACCUAUUUAAGGUGGUGUUGUACUCUAUAAGCCGGCGGUGUGGUAUUUACCAACUACAAAUAGUGUCAUGCAUGUGACUUGCUAGUUGACAAUGUCUGUUGUCGAGCUAGAUGUGGGCUAUGGAUGAAGCACAUUAUGAUAUAGUAGGCCUAUUUUGUUUUUUGUUGUUUUUGGGCCACUAUGGACUUUAUGUUGAUGUUGUGAAAUUUUUUCUUGUGUUUCCUCUUCCUACGAUGUGUAAAGUGGGUGUGUUAGAGAAGAAAGAAAGAGUGGCUAGCAUUGAUUUUACGUCAUACCAUUGAGAACACUAAUCAGAAGCAGAAGCAACAAUAUUUCAUACAUAUACAACACUUGUAAUCCAUAUAAACAACUUUCCUUUAAAAUAUAAUAUAAACCACAUGAUUUAUAUCCUGGGUCGGCUAUCUCCACAAAGGGCAAGAAAACGCUCCAAGUUUGUAGUAUAGAACUAAAAGUGUCGAUUCUCACGAUUUCUUCCCGACAUAUACAAACUAGACAGUAAUCACAUAAAAUAAAGAAAUAUGUGUUAACACGAACUUAUAGCAUGUAUUUCAACAUAUAGAUUGUUGAUUAUUAUGGUAGAUUAUAUAAAAUAGGGGUUCCCAAAGAAAUACAUAAAACAAGAGCAUUAAAAUUUCCUUUUCAGAUCUGGCUAUCUGGUAAAAGGAGUUGGAGUAACUGAGUUUCCAAAUUUGUGACGUAGCUCUAUAGAAGGAAUAUAAAUACGUUGGAAAAAUUCUACAAGGAAAGGUUUAAUACAAGUAGGGCUAAGAAAAACUCAAUGAGGCUUUGGUCGCAUGGUCACAAAACUUGAGACAAGAAACACGAAGACACAAAGGUAAUUAGUAUGAGAGUUUUCCAAAUUUGGUGUCUUGAUGUAGAAAAAAUAAAUAUAUGACAAACUUGUUUUUUCGCAAGGCAUGGAUAAAUAAGUGGGGGUGAGCAAUAAAUUUCAACCUAGAUUUAGAAGGAAUAAAUAUAUCACUAAAUACAUUUUUUACAAUGCCAAGUUAAUCAGGUAGGAGCGAGAAACAAUUCUAGCGAGGCUAGGUUGUACUAGCCCAAAACUACAUACAAAAGAGGAAAAAUGAAGAAAAUGAUGGUCUACCAAAUAUGGCACAUGAGCCUUAAGGUGCACCUAGAGGGAAGUAGAAGAAUAAAUAUAUAAUAGCAUAUGUUUUUCGCAAUGCAAGGUAAAGUGUAGAUGUGCUCUAACUGGGCUUAGAUUGCAGCGACACAUUAUGCAUCUACAAGGCUUGGUUGCACAUGGAAAAAGAUAGAGAGAGAAAUGUAGACGCAGGACCGGGAGAAAAACAUUCAAUGAGACGUGAUUGCACGGACAUAGAACUAGAUAUAAGACAAGAGUUAAAGAAAAAAGGAACUAAAUUUUCUUGUGCACACUAAGCAUGAAUGGAGUUGUAGUAUCUGAGAUCAAAAUUUAAUUUAUUCCAAGAUGCAGAACAAAAACGUGAUACUCGUAAUGGUUACAUAGGAACAAAAGUAGAUAAGAAAAAUAGCAAAAAGAUAUUGGUCUACCAGAGAGGGCACAUGUGCCUCAAUUGGCCUAUAGCAUAGUGGCUCAUUAUCCUUCAACCGCUGGUGGCGGGCGGUACUCGCUGCUCUGUGAAGCCAGCCUCACGCAAUGUCCGCCACUUUAGGUGUUGGGAUGCAAAGGCUUUCGCCAAGGCAUCCGAAACCCACUACACAACUUGGAAUGGGUGGUCCACAGUUUGUAGCACUAGACCCAGGCACAUGCACCACAAUUGACAUUCACACUACCUUAUUGCCCCCGCUCGGGUUACAAGCAAUCGCUACUUGCUCAGCGAGUGAGGGGGGUUCAAGACUACCUAUUUAAGGUGGUGUUGUACUGUAUGAGCCGGCGGUGUGGUAUUUACCAACUACAAAUAGUGUCAUGCAUGUGACUUGCUAGUUGACAAUGUCUGUUGUGGAGCUAGAUGUGGGCUAUGGAUGAAGCACAUUAGGAUAUAGUAGGCCUAUUUUGUUUUUUGUUAUUUUUGGGCCACUAUGGACUUUAUGUUGAUGUUGUGAAUUUUUUUCUUGUGUUUCCUCUUCCUACGAUGUGGAAAGUGGGUGCGUCAGAGAAGAAAGAAAGAGUGGCUAGCAUUGAUUUUACGUCAUACCAUUGAGAACACUAAUCAGAAGCAGAAGCAACAAUAUUUCAUACAUAUACAACACUUGUAAUCCAUAUAAACAACUUUCCUUUCAAAUAUAAUAUAAACCACAUGAUUUAUAUCCUGGGUCGGCUAUCUCCACAAAGGGCAAGAAAACGCUCCAAGUUUGUAGUAUAGAACUAAAAGUGUCGACUCUCACGAUUUCUUCCCGACAUAUGCAAACUAGACAGUAAUCACAUAAAAUAAAGAAAUAUGUGUUAACACAAACUUAUAACAUGUAUUUCAACAUAUAGAUUUUUGAUUAUUAUGGUAGAUUAUAUAAUAUAGGGGUUCCCGAAGAAAUACAUAAAAAACAAGAGCAUUAAAAUUUCCUUUUCAGAUCUGGCUAACUGGUAAAGGGAGUUGGAGUAUCUGUGUUUCCAAAUUUGGGACGUCGCUCUAUAGAAGGAAUAUAAAUACAUUGGAAAAAAAUUCUACAAGGAAAGGUUUAAUACAAGUAGGGCUAAGAAAAACUCAAUGAGGCUUUGGUCGCAUGGUCACAAAACUUGAGACAAGAAACACGAAGACACCAAGGUAAUUAGUAUGAGAGUUUUCCAAAUUUGGUGUCUUGAUGUAGAAAAAAUAAAUAUAUGACAAACUUGUUUUUUCGCAAGGCAUGGAUAAAUAAGUGGGGGUGAGCAAUAAAUUUCAUCCUAGAUUUAGAAGGAAUAAAUAUAUCACUAAAUACGUUUUUUCAUAAUGCCAAGUUAAUCAGGUGGGAGCGAGAAACAAUUCUAGCGAGGCUAGGUUGUACUAGCCCAAAACUACAUACAACAGAGGAAAAAUGAAGAAAAUGAUGGUCUACCAAAUAUGGCGCAUGAGCCUUAAGGUGCACCUAGAGGGAAGUAGAAGAAAUAAAUAUAUAAUAGCAUAUGUUUUUCUCAAUGCAAGGUAAAGUGUAGAUGUGCUCUAACUGGGCUUAGAUUGCAGCGACACAUUAUGCAUCUACAAGGCUUGGUUGCACAUGGAAAAAGAUAGAGAGAGAAAUGUAGACACAGGACGGGGAGAAAAACAUUCAAUGAGACAUGAUUGCACGGACAUAGAACUAGAUAUAAGACAAGAGUUAAAGAAAAAUAAAGGAACUAAAUUUUCUUCUGCACACUCAGCAUGAAUGGAGUUGUAGUAUCUGAGAUCAAAAUUUAAUUUAUUCCAAGAUGCAGAACAAAAACGUGAUACUCGUAAUGGUUACAUAGGAACAAAAGUAGAUAAGAAAAAUAGCAAAAAGAUAGUGGUCUACCAGAGAGGGCACAUGUGCCUCAAUUGGCCUAUAGCAUAGCGACUCAUUAUCCUUCCACCGCUGGUGGCGGGCGGUACUCGCUGCUCUGUGAAGCCAGCCUCACGCAAUGUCCGCCACUUUAGGUGUUGGGAUGCAAAGGCUUUCGCCAAGGCAUCCGAAACCCACUACACAACUUGGAAUGGGUGGUCCACAGUUUGUAGCACUAGACCCAGGCACAUGCACCACAAUUGACAUCCACACUACCUUAUUGCCCCCGCUCGGGUUACAAGCAAUCGCUACUUGCUCAGCGAGUGAGGGGGUUCAAGACUACCUAUUUAAGGUGGUGUUGUACUCUAUAAGCCGGCGGUGUGGUAUUUACCAACUACAAAUAGUGUCAUGCAUGUGACUUGCUAGUUGACAAUGUCUGUUGUCGAGCUAGAUGUGGGCUACGGAUGAAGCACAUUAUGAUAUAGUAGGCCUAUUUUGUUUUUUGUUGUUUUUGGGCCACUAUGGACUUUAUGUUGAUGUUGUGAAAUUUUUUCUUGUGUUUCCUCUUCCUACGAUGUGGAAAGUGGGUGUGUUAGAGAAGAAAGAAAGAGUGGCUAGCAUUGAUUUUACGUCAUACCAUUGAGAACACUAAUCAGAAGCAGAAGCAACAAUAUUUCAUACAUAUACAACACUUGUAAUCCAUAUAAACAACUUUCCUUUAAAAUAUAAUAUAAACCACAUGAUUUAUAUCCUGGGUCGGCUAUCUCCACAAAGGGCAAGAAAACGCUCCAAGUUUGUAGUAUAGAACUAAAAGUGUCGAUUCUCACGAUUUCUUCCCGACAUAUACAAACUAGACAGUAAUCACAUAAAAUAAAGAAAUAUGUGUUAACACAAACUUAUAGCAUGUAUUUCAACAUAUAGAUUGUUGAUUAUUAUGGUAGAUUAUAUAAAAUAGAGGUUCCCGAAGAAAUACAUAAAAACAAGAGCAUUAAAAUUUCCAUUUCAGAUCUGGCUAUCUGGUAAAAGGAGUUGGAGUAACUGAGUUUCCAAAUUUGUGACGUAGCUCUAUAGAAGGAAUAUAAAUACGUUGGAAAAAUUCUACAAGGAAAGGUUUAAUACAAGUAGGGCUAAGAAAAACUCAAUGAGGCUUUGGUCGCAUGGUCACAAAACUUGAGACAAGAAACACGAAGACACCAAGGUAAUUAGUAUGAGAGUUUUCCAAAUUUGGUGUCUUGAUGUAGAAAAAAUAAAUAUAUGACAAACUUGUUUUUUCGCAAGGCAUGGAUAAAUAAGUGGGGGCGAGCAAUAAAUUUCAUCCUAGAUUUAGAAGGAAUAAAUAUAUCACUAAAUACGUUUUUUCAUAAUGCCAAGUUCAUCAGGUGGGAGCGAGAAACAAUUCUAGCGAGGUUAGGUUGUACUAGCCCAAAACUACAUACAACAGAGGAAAAAUGAAGAAAAUGAUGGUCUACCAAAUAUGGCGCAUGGGCCUUAAGGUGCACCUAGAGGGAAGUAUAAGAAAUAAAUAUAUAAUAGCCUAUGUUUUUCGCAAUGCAAGGUAAAGUGUAGAUGUGCUCUAACUGGGCUUAGAUUGCAGCGACACAUUAUGCAUCUACAAGGCUUGGUUGCACAUGGAAAAAGAUAGAGAGAGAAAUGUAGACACAGGACGGGGAGAAAAACAUUCAAUGAGACAUGAUUGCACGGACAUAGAACUAGAUAUAAGACAAGAGUUAAAGAAAAAUAAAGGAACUAAAUUUUCUUCUGCACACUCAGCAUGAAUGGAGUUGUAGUAUCUGAGAUCAAAAUUUAAUUUAUUCCAAGAUGCAGAACAAAAACGUGAUACUCGUAAUGGUUACAUAGGAACAAAAGUAGAUAAGAAAAAUAGCAAAAAGAUAGUGGUCUACCAGAGAGGGCACAUGUGCCUCAAUUGGCCUAUAGCAUAGCGACUCAUUAUCCUUCCACCGCUGGUGGCAGGCGGUACUCGCUGCUCUGUGAAGCCAGCCUCACGCAAUGUCCGCCACUUUAGGUGUUGGGAUGCAAAGGCUUUCGCCAAGGCAUCCGAAACCCACUACGCAACUUGGAAUGGGUGGUCCACAGUUUGUAGCACUAGACCCAGGCACAUGCACCACAAUUGACAUCCACACUACCUUAUUGCCCCCGCUCGGGUUACAAGCAAUCGCUACUUGCUCAGCGAGUGAGGGGGUUCAAGACUACCUAUUUAAGGUGGUGUUGUACUCUAUAAGCCGGCGGUGUGGUAUUUACCAACUACAAAUAGUGUCAUGCAUGUGACUUGCUAGUUGACAAUGUCUGUUGUCGAGCUAGAUGUGGGCUAUGGAUGAAACACAUUACGAUAUAGUAGGCCUAUUUUGUUUUUUGUUGUUUUUGGGCCACUAUGGACUUUAUGUUGAUGUUGUGAAAUUUUUUCUUGUGUUUCCUCUUCCUAUGAUGUGGAAAGUGGGUGGGUUAGAGAAGAAAGAAAGAGUGGCUAGCAUUGAUUUUACGUCAUACAAUUGAGAACACUAAUCAGAAGCAGAAGCAACAAUAUUUCAUACAUAUACAACACUUGUAAUCCAUAUAAACAACUUUCCUUUAAAAUAUAAUAUAAACCACAUGAUUUAUAUCCUGGGUCGGCUAUCUCCACAAAGGGCAAGAAAACGCUCCAAGUUUGUAGUAUAGAACUAAAAGUGUCGAUUCUCACGAUUUCUUCCCGACAUAUACAAACUAGACAGUAAUCACAUAAAAUAAAGAAAUAUGUGUUAACACGAACUUAUAGCAUGUAUUUCAACAUAUAGAUUGCUGAUUAUUAUGGUUGAUUAUAUAAAAUAGGGGUUCCCGAAGAAAUACAUAAAAACAAGAGCAUUAAAAUUUCCUUUUCAGAUCUGGCUAUCUGGUAAAAGGAGUUGGAGUAACUGAGUUUCCAAAUUUGUGACGUAGCUCUAUAGAAGGAAUAUAAAUACGUUGGAAAAAUUCUACAAGGAAAGGUUUAAUACAAGUAGGGCUAAGAAAAACUCAAUGAGGCUUUGGUCGCAUGGUCACAAAACUUGAGACAAGAAACACGAAGACACCAAGGUAAUUAGUAUGAGAGUUUUCCAAAUUUGGUGUCUUGAUGUAGAAAAAAUAAAUAUAUGACAAACUUGUUUUUUCGCAAGGCAUGGAUAAAUAAGUGGGGGUGAGCAAUAAAUUUCAUCCUAGAUUUAGAAGGAAUAAAUAUAUCACUAAAUACGUUUUUUACAAUGCCAAGUUAAUUAGGUGGGAGCGAGAAACAAUUCUAGCGAGGCUAGGUUGUACUAGCCCAAAACUACAUACAACAGAGGAAGAAUGAAGAAAAUGAUGGUCUACCAAAUAUGGCACAUGAGCCUUAAGGUGCACCUAGAGGGAAGUAGAAGAAUAAAUAUAUAAUAGCAUAUGUUUUUCGCAAUGCAAGGUAAAGUGUAGAUGUGCUCUAACUGGGCUUAGAUUGCAGCGACACAUUAUGCAUCUACAAGGCUUCGUUGCACAUGGAAAAAGAUAGAGAGAGAAAUGUAGACGCAGGACCGGGAGAAAAACAUUCAAUGAGACGUGAUUGCACGGACAUAGAACUAAGUAUAAGACAAGAGUUAAAGAAAAAAGGAACUAAAUUUUCUUGUGCACACUAAGCAUGAAUGGAGUUGUAGUAUCUGAGAUCAAAAUUUAAUUUAUUCCAAGAUGCAGAACAAAAACGUGAUACUCGUAAUGGUUACAUAGGAACAAAAGUAGAUAAGAAAAAUAGCAAAAAGAUAUUGGUCUACCAGAGAGGGCACAUGUGCCUCAAUUGGCCUAUAGCAUAGUGGCUCAUUAUCCUUCCACCGCUGGUGGCGGGCGGUACUCGCUGCUCUGUGAAGCCAGCCUCACGCAAUGUCCGCCACUUUAGGUGUUGGGAUGCAAAGGCUUUCGCCAAGGCAUCCGAAACCCACUACACAACUUGGAAUGGGUGGUCCACAGUUUGUAGCAAUAGACCCAGGCACAUGCACCACAAUUGACAUUCACACUACCUUAUUGCCCCCGCUCGGGUUACAAGCAAUCGCUACUUGCUCAGCGAGUGAGGGGGUUCAAGACUACCUAUUUAAGGUGGUGUUGUACUGUAUGAGCCGGCGGUGUGGUAUUUACCAACUACAAAUAGUGUCAUGCAUGUGACUUGCUAGUUGACAAUGUCUAUUGUCGAGCUAGAUGUGGGCUAUAGAUGAAGCACAUUAGGAUAUAGUAGGCCUAUUUUGUUUUUUGUUGUUUUUGGGCCACUAUGGACUUUAUGUUGAUGUUGUGAAAUUUUUUCUUGUGUUUCCUCUUCCUACGAUGUGGAAAGUGGGUGCUUCAGAGAAGAAAGAAAGAGUGGCUAGCAUUGAUUUUACGUCAUACCAUUGAGAACACUAAUCAGAAGCAGAAGCAACAAUAUUUCAUACAUAUACAACACUUGUAAUCCAUAUAAACAACUUUCCUUUCAAAUAUAAUAUAAACCACAUGAUUUAUAUCCUGGGUCGGCUAUCUCCACAAAGGGCAAGAAAACGCUCCAAGUUUGUAGUAUAGCACUAAAAGUGUCGACUCUCACGAUUUCUUCCCGACAUAUGCAAACUAGACAGUAAUCACAUAAAAUAAAGAAAUAUGUGUUAACACAAACUUAUAGCAUGUAUUUCAACAUAUAGAUUUUUGAUUAUUAUGGUAGAUUAUAUAAUAUAGGGGUUCCCGAAAAAAUACAUAAAAAACAAGAGCAUUAAAAUUUCCUUUUCAGAUCUGGCUAACUGGUAAAGGGAGUUGGAGUAUCUGAGUUUCCAAAUUUGGGACGUCGCUCUAUAGAAGGAAUAUAAAUACAUUGGAAAAAAUUCUACAAGGAAAGGUUUAAUACAAGUAGCGCUAAGAAAAACUCAAUGAGGCUUUGGUCGCUUGGUCACAAAACUUGAGACAAGAAACACGAAGACACCAAGGUAAUUAGUAUGAGAGUUUUCCAAAUUUGGUGUCUUGAUGUAGAAAAAAUAAAUAUAUGACAAACUUGUUUUUUCGCAAGGCAUGGAUAAAUAAGUGGGGGUGAGCAAUAAAUUUCAUCCUAGAUUUAGAAGGAAUAAAUAUAUCACUAAAUACGUUUUUUCACAAUGCCAAGUUAAUCAGGUGGGAGCGAGAAACAAUUCUAGCGAGGCUAGGUUGUACUAGCCCAAAACUACAUACAACAGAGGAAAAAUAAAGAAAAUGAUGGUCUACCAAAUAGGGCGCAUGAGCCUUAAGGUGCACCUAGAGGGAAGUAGAAGAAAUAAAUAUAUAAUAGCAUAUGUUUUUCGCAAUGCAAGGUAAAGUGUAGAUGUGCUCUAACUGGGCUUAGAUUGCAGCGACACAUUAUGCAUCUACAAGGCUUGGUUGCACAUGGAAAAAGAUAGAGAGAGAAAUGUAGACGCAGGACCGGGAGAAAAACAUUCAAUGAGACGUGAUUGCACGGACAUAGAACUAGAUAUAAGACAAGAGUUAAAGAAAAAUAAAGGAACUAAAUUUUCUUCUGCACACUAAGCAUGAAUGGAGUUGUAGUAUCUGAGAUCAAAAUUUAAUUUAUUCCAAGAUGCAGAACAAAAACGUGAUACUCGUAAUGGUUACAUAGGAACAAAAGUAGAUAAGAAAAAUAGCAAAAAGAUAGUGGUCUACCAGAGAGGGCACAUGUGCCUCAAUUGGCCUAUAGCAUAGCGACUCAUUAUCCUUCCACCGCUGGUGGCGGGCGGUACUCGCUGCUCUGUGAAGCCAGCCUCACGCAAUGUCCGCCACUUUAGGUGUUGGGAUGCAAAGGCUUUCGCCAAGGCAUCCGAAACCCACUACACAACUUGGAAUGGGUGGUCCACAGUUUGUAGCACUAGACCCAGGCACAUGCACCACAAUUGACAUCCACACUACCUUAUUGCCCCCGCUCGGGUUACAAGCAAUCGCUACUUGCUCAGCGAGUGAGGGGGUUCAAGACUACCUAUUUAAGGUGGUGUUGUACUCUAUGAGCCGGCGGUGUGGUAUUUACCAACUACAAAUAGUGUCAUGCAUGUGACUUGCUAGUUGACAAUGUCUGUUGUCAAGCUAGGUGUGGGCUAUGGAUGAAGCACAUUAGGAUAUAGUAGGCCUAUUUUGUUUUUUGUUGUUUUUGGGCCACUAUGGACUGUAUGUUGAUGUUGUGAAAUUUUUUUCUUGUGUUUCCUCUUCCUACGAUGUGGAAAGUGGGUGCGUCAGAGAAGAAAGAAAGAGUGGCUAGCAUUGAUUUUACGUCAUACCAUUGAGAACACUAAUCAGAAGCAGAAGCAACAAUAUUUCAUACAUAUACAACACUUGUAAUCCAUAUAAACAACAUUCCUUUAAAAUAUAAUAUAAACCACAUGAUUUAUAUCCUGGGUCGGCUAUCUCCACAAAGGGCAAGAAAACGCUCCAAGUUUGUAGUAUAGCACUAAAAGUGUCGAUUCUCACGAUUUCUUCCCGACAUAUACAAACUAGACAGUAAUCACAUAAAAUAAAGAAAUAUGUGUUAACACGAACUUAUAACAUGUAUUUCAACAUAUAGAUUGUUGAUUAUUAUGGUAGAUUAUAUAAAAUAGGGGUUCCCGAAGAAAUACAUAAAAACAAGAGCAUUAAAAUUUCCUUUUCAGAUCUGGCUAUCUGGUAAAAGGAGUUGGAGUAACUGAGUUUCCAAAUUUGUGACGUAGCUCUAUAGAAGGAAUAUAAAUACGUUGGAAAAAUUCUAUAAGGAAAGGUUUAAUACAAGUAGGGCUAAGAAAAACUCAAUGAGGCUUUGGUCGCAUGGUCACAAAACUUGAGACAAGAAACACGAAGACACCAAGGUAAUUAGUAUGAGAGUUUUCCAAAUUUGGUGUCUUGAUGUAGAAAAAAUAAAUAUAUGACAAACUUGUUUUUUCGCAAGGCAUGGAUAAAUAAGUGGGGGUGAGCAAUAAAUUUCAUCCUAGAUUUAGAAGGAAUAAAUAUAUCACUAAAUAUGUUUUUUCACAAUGCCAAGUUAAUCAGGUGGGAGCGAGAAACAAUUCUAGCGAGGCUAGGUUGUACUAGCCCAAAACUACAUACAACAGAGGAAAAAUGAAGAAAAUGAUGGUCUACCAAAUAUGGCGCAUGAGCCUUAAGGUGCACCUAGAGGGAAGUAGAAGAAAUAAAUAUAUAAUAGCAUAUGUUUUUCGCAAUGCAAGGUAAAGUGUAGAUGUGCUCUAACUGGGCUUAGAUUGCAGCGACACAUUAUGCAUCUACAAGGCUUGGUUGCACAUGGAAAAAGAUAGAGAGAGAAAUGUAGACGCAGGACCGGGAGAAAAACAUUCAACGAGACGUGAUUGCACGGACAUAGAACUAGAUAUAAGACAAGAGUUAAAGAAAAAUAAAGGAACUAAAUUUUCUUCUGCACACUAAGCAUGAAUGGAGUUGUAGUAUCUGAGAUCAAAAUUUAAUUUAUUCCAAGAUGCAGAACAAAAACGUGAUACUCGUAAUGGUUACAUAGGAACAUAAGUAGAUAAGAAAAAUAGCAAAAAGAUAGUGGUCUACCAGAGAGGGCACAUGUGCCUCAAUUGGCCUAUAGCAUAGCGACUCAUUAUCCUUCCACCGCUGGUGGCGGGCGGUACUCGCUGCUCUGUGAAGCCAGCCUCACGCAAUGUCUGCCACUUUAGGUGUUGGGAUGCAAAGGCUUUCGCCAAGGCAUCCGAAACCCACUACACAACUUGGAAUGGGUGGUCCACAGUUGGUAGCACUAGACCCAGGCACAUGCACCACAAUUGACAUCCACACUACCUUAUUGCCCCCGCUCGGGUUACAAGCAAUCGCUACUUGCUCAGCGAGUGAGGGGGUUCAAGACUACCUAUUUAAGGUGGUGUUGUACUCUAUGAGCCGGUGGUGUGGUAUUUACCAACUACAAAUAGUGUCAUGCAUGUGACUUGCUAGUUGACAAUGUCUGUUGUCAAGCUAGGUGUGGGCUAUGGAUGAAGCACAUUAGGAUAUAGUAGGCCUAUUUUGUUUUUUGUUGUUUUUGGGCCACUAUGGACUUUAUGUUGAUGUUGUGAAUUUUUUUUCUUGUGUUUCCUCUUCCUACAAUGUGGAAAGUGGGUGCGUCAGAGAAGAAAGAAAGAGUGGCUAGCAUUGAUUUUACGUCAUACCAUUGAGAACACUAAUCAGAAGCAGAAGCAACAAUAUUUCAUACAUAUACAACACUUGUAAUCCAUAUAAACAACAUUCCUUUAAAAUAUAAUAUAAACCACAUGAUUUAUAUCCUGGGUCGGCUAUCUCCACAAAGGGCAAGAAAACGCUCCAAGUUUGUAGUAUAGCACUAAAAGUGUCGAUUCUCACGAUUUCUUCCCGACAUAUACAAACUAGACAGUAAUCACAUAAAAUAAAGAAAUAUGUGUUAACACGAACUUAUAGCAUGUAUUUCAACAUAUAGAUUGUUGAUUAUUAUGGUAGAUUAUAUAAAAUAGGGGUUCCCGAAGAAAUACAUAAAAACAAGAGCAUUAAAAUUUCCUUUUCAGAUCUGGCUAUCUGGUAAAAGGAGUUGGAGUAACUGAGUUUCCAAAUUUGUGACGUAGCUCUAUAGAAGGAAUAUAAAUACGUUGGAAAAAUUCUAUAAGGAAAGGUUUAAUACAAGUAGGGCUAAGAAAAACUCAAUGAGGCUUUGGUCGCAUGGUCACAAAACUUGAGACAAGAAACACGAAGACACCAAGGUAAUUAGUAUGAGAGUUUUCCAAAUUUGGUGUCUUGAUGUAGAAAAAAUAAAUAUAUGACAAACUUGUUUUUCGCAAGGCAUGGAUAAAUAAGUGGGGGUGAGCAAUAAAUUUCAUCCUAGAUUUAGAAGGAAUAAAUAUAUCACUUAAUAUGUUUUUUCACAAUGCCAAGUUAAUCAGGUGGGAGCGAGAAACAAUUCUAGCGAGGCUAGGUUGUACUAGCCCAAAACUACAUACAACAGAGGAAAAAUGAAGAAAAUGAUGGUCUACCAAAUAUGGUGCAUGAGCCUUAAGGUGCACCUAGAGGGAAGUAGAAGAAAUAAAUAUAUAAUAGCAUAUGUUUUUCGCAAUGCAAGGUAAAGUGUAGAUGUGCUCUAACUGGGCUUAGAUUGCAGCGACACAUUAUGCAUCUACAAGGCUUGGUUGCACAUGGAAAAAGAUAGAGAGAGAAAUGUAGACGCAAGACCGGGAGAAAAACAUUCAAUGAGACGUGAUUGCACGGACAUAGAACUAGAUAAAAGACAAGAGUUAAAGAAAAAUAAAGGAACUAAAUUUUCUUCUGCACACUAAGCAUGAAUGGAGUUGUAGUAUCUGAGAUCAAAAUUUAAUUUAUUCCAAGAUGCAGAACAAAAACGUGAUACUCGUAAUGGUUACAUAGGAACAUAAGUAGAUAAGAAAAAUAGCAAAAAGAUAGUGGUCUACCAGAGAGGGCACAUGUGCCUCAAUUGGCCUAUAGCAUAGCGACUCAUUAUCCUUCCACCGCUGGUGGCGGGCGGUACUCGCUGCUCUGUGAAGCCAGCCUCACGCAAUGUCCGCCACUUUAGGUGUUGGGAUGCAAAGGCUUUUGCCAAGGCAUCCGAAACCCACUACACAACUUGGAAUGGGUGGUCCACAGUUUGUAGCACUAGACCCAGGCACAUGCACCACAAUUGACAUCCACACUACCUUAUUGCCCCCGCUCGGGUUACAAGCAAUCGCUACUUGCUCAACGAGUGAGGGGGUUCAAGACUACCUAUUUAAGGUGGUGUUGUACUCUAUGAGCCGGCGGUGUGGUAUUUACCAACUACAAAUAGUGUCAUGCAUGUGACUUGCUAGUUGACAAUGUCUGUUGUCAAGCUAGGUGUGGGCUAUGGAUGAAGCACAUUAGGAUAUAGUAGGCCUAUUUUGUUUUUUGUUGUUUUUGGGCCACUAUGGACUUUAUGUUGAUGUUGUGAAUUUUUUUUCUUGUGUUUCCUCUUCCUACGAUGUGGAAAGUGGGUGCGUCAGAGAAGAAAGAAAGAGUGGCUAGCAUUGAUUUUACGUCAUACCAUUGAGAACACUAAUCAGAAGCAGAAGCAACAAUAUUUCAUACAUAUACAACACUUGUAAUCCAUAUAAACAACAUUCCUUUAAAAUAUAAUAUAAACCACAUGAUUUAUAUCCUGGGUCAGCUAUCUCCACAAAGGGCAAGAAAACGCUCCAAGUUUGUAGUAUAGCACUAAAAGUGUCGAUUCUCACGAUUUCUUCCCGACAUAUACAAACUAGACAGUAAUCACAUAAAAUAAAGAAAUAUGUGUUAACACGAACUUAUAGCAUGUAUUUCAACAUAUAGAUUGUUGAUUAUUAUGGUAGAUUAUAUAAAAUAGGGGUUCCCGAAGAAAUACAUAAAAACAAGAGCAUUAAAAUUUCCUUUUCAGAUCUGGCUAACUGGUAAAGGGAGUUGGAGUAUCUGAGUUUCCAAAUUUGGGACGUCGCUCUAUAGAAGGAAUAUAAAUACAUUGGAAAAAAUUCUACAAGGAAAGGUUUAAUACAAGUAGCGCUAAGAAAAACUCAAUGAGGCUUUGGUCGCUUGGUCACAAAACUUGAGACAAGAAACACGAAGACACCAAGGUAAUUAGUAUGAGAGUUUUCCAAAUUUGGUGUCUUGAUGUAGAAAAAAUAAAUAUAUGACAAACUUGUUUUUUCGUAAGGCAUGGAUAAAUAAGUGGGGGUGAGCAAUAAAUUUCAUCCUAGAUUUAGAAGGAAUAAAUAUAUCACUAAAUAGGUUUUUUCACAAUGCCAAGUUAAUCAGGUGGGAGCGAGAAACAAUUCUAGCGAGGCUAGGUUGUACUAGCCCAAAACUACAUACAACAGAGGAAAAAUGAAGAAAAUGAUGGUCUACCAAAUAUGGCGCAUGAGCCUUAAGGUGCACCUAGAGGGAAGUAGAAGAAAUAAAUAUAUAAUGGCAUAUGUUUAUCGCAAUGCAAGGUAAAGUGUAGAUGUGCUCUAACUGGGCUUAGAUUGCAGCGACACAUUAUGCAUCUACAAGGCUUGGUUGCACAUGGAAAAAGAUAGAGAGAGAAAUGUAGAUGCAGGACCGGGUGAAAAACAUUCAAUGAGACGUGAUUGCACGGACAUAGAACUAGAUAUAAGACAAGAGUUAAAGAAAAAUAAAGGAACUAAAUUUUCUUCUGCACACUAAGCAUGAAUGGAGUUGUAGUAUCUGAGAUCAAAAUUUAAUUUAUUCCAAGAUGCAGAACAAAAAUGUGAUACUCGUAAUGGUUACAUAGGAGCAAAAGUAGAUAAGAAAAAUAGCAAAAAGAUAGUGGUCUACCAGAGAGGGCACAUGUGCCUCAAUUGUCUUAUAGCAUAGCGACUCAUUAUCCUUCCACCGCUGGUGGCGGGCGGUACUCGCUGCUCUGUGAAGCCAGCCUCACGCAAUGUCCGCCACUUUAGGUGUUGGGAUGCAAAGACUUUCGCCAAGGCAUCCGAAACCCACUACACAACUUGGAAUGGGUGGUCCACUGUUUGUAGCACUAGACCCAGGCACAUGCACCACAAUUGACAUCCACACUACCUUAUUGCCCCGCUCGGGUUACAAGCAAUCGCUACUUGCUCAGCGAGUGAGGGGGUUCAAGACUACCUAUUUAAGGUGGUGUUGUACUCUAUGAGCCGGCGGUGUGGUAUUUACCAACUACAAAUAGUGUCAUGCAUGUGACUUGCUAGUUGACAAUGUCUGUUGUCAAGCUAGGUGUGGGCUAUGGAUGAAGCACAUUAGGAUAUAGUAGGCCUAUUUUGUUUUUUGUUGUUUUUGGGCCACUAUGGACUUUAUGUUGAUGUUGUGAAAUUUUUUUCUUGUGUUUCCUCUUCCUACGAUGUGGAAAGUGGGUGCGUCAGAGAAGAAAGAAAGAGUGGCUAGCAUUGAUUUUACGUCAUACCAUUGAGAACACUAAUCAGAAGCAGAAGCAACAAUAUUUCAUACAUAUACAACACUUGUAAUCCAUAUAAACAACAUUCCUUUAAAAUAUAAUAUAAACCACAUGAUUUAUAUCCUGGGUCGGCUAUCUCCACAAAGGGCAAGAAAACGCUCCAAGUUUGUAGUAUAGCACUAAAAGUGUCGAUUCUCACGAUUUCUUCCCGACAUAUACAAACUAGACAGUAAUCACAUAAAAUAAAGAAAUAUGUGUUAACACGAACUUAUAGCAUGUAUUUCAACAUAUAGAUUUUUGAUUAUUAUGGUAGAUUAUAUAAAAUAGGGGUUCCCGAAGAAAUACAUAAAAACAAGAGCAUUAAAAUUUCCUUUUCAGAUCUGGCUAUCUGGUAAAAGGAGUUGGAGUAACUGAGUUUCCAAAUUUGUGACGUAGCUCUAUAGAAGGAAUAUAAAUACGUUGGAAAAAUUCUAUAAGGAAAGGUUUAAUACAAGUAGGGCUAAGAAAAACUCAAUGAGGCUUUGGUCGCAUGGUCACAAAACUUGAGACAAGAAACACGAAGACACCAAGGUAAUUAGUAUGAGAGUUUUCCAAAUUUGGUGUCUUGAUGUAGAAAAAAUAAAUAUAUGACAAAUUUGUUUUUUCGCAAGGCAUGGAUAAAUAAGUGGGGGUGAGCAAUAAAUUUCAUCCUAGAUUUAGAAGGAAUAAAUAUAUCACUAAAUACAUUUUUUCACAAUGCCAAAUUAAUCAGGUGGGAGCGAGAAACAAUUGUAGCGAGGCUAGGUUGUACUAGCCCAAAACUACAUACAACAGAGGAAAAAUGAAGAAAAUGAUGGUCUACCAAAUAUGGCGCAUGAGCCUUAAGGUGCACCUAGAGGGAAGUAGAAGAAAUAAAUAUAUAAUAGCAUAUGUUUUUCGCAAUGCAUGGUAAAGUGUAGAUGUGCUCUAACUGGGCUUAGAUUGCAGCGACACAUUAUGCAUCUACAAGGCUUGGUUGCACAUGGAAAAAGAUACAAAAAGAAAUGUAGACGCAGGACCGGGAGAAAAACAUUCAAUGAGACGUGAUUGCACGGACAUAGAACUAGAUAUAAGACAAGAGUUAAAGAAAAAUAAAGGAACUAAAUUUUCUUCUGCACACUAAGCAUGAAUGGAGUUGUAGUAUCUGAGAUCAAAAUUUAAUUUAUUCCAAGAUGCAGAACAAAAAUUUGAUACUCGUAAUGGUUACAUAGGAGCAAAAGUAGAUAAGAAAAAUAGCAAAAAGAUAGUGGUCUACCAGAGAGGGCACAUGUGCCUCAAUUGGCCUAUAGCAUAGCGACUCAUUAUCCUUCCACCGCUGGUGGCGGGCGGUACUCGCUGCUCUGUGAAGCCAGCCUCACACAAUGUCCGCCACUUUAGGUGUUGGGAUGCAAAGGCUUUCGCCAAGGCAUCCGAAACCCACUACACAACUUGGAAUGGGUGGUCCACUGUUUGUAGCACUAGACCCAGGCACAUGCACCACAAUUGACAUCCACACUACCUUAUUGCCCCGCUCGGGUUACAAGCAAUCGCUACUUGCUCAGCGAGUGAGGGGGUUCAAGACUACCUAUUUAAGGUGGUGUUGUACUCUAUGAGCCGGCGGUGUGGUAUUUACCAACUACAAAUAGUGUCAUGCAUGUGACUUGCUAGUUGACAAUGUCUGUUGUCAAGCUAGGUGUGGGCUAUGGAUGAAGCACAUUAGGAUAUAGUAGGCCUAUUUUGUUUUUUGUUGUUUUUGGGCCACUAUGGACUUUAUGUUGAUGUUGUGAAAUUUUUUUCUUGUGUUUCCUCUUCCUACGAUGUGGAAAGUGGGUGCGUCAGAGAAGAAAGAAAGAGUGGCUAGCAUUGAUUUUACGUCAUACCAUUGAGAACACUAAUCAGAAGCAGAAGCAACAAUAUUUCAUACAUAUACAACACUUGUAAUCCAUAUAAACAACAUUCCUUUAAAAUAUAAUAUAAACCACAUGAUUUAUAUCCUGGGUCGGCUAUCUCCACAAAGGGCAAGAAAACGCUCCAAGUUUGUAGUAUAGCACUAAAAGUGUCGAUUCUCACGAUUUCUUCCCGACAUAUACAAACUAGACAGUAAUCACAUAAAAUAAAGAAAUAUGUGUUAACACAAACUUAUAGCAUGUAUUUCAACAUAUAGAUUGUUGAUUAUUAUGGUAGAUUAUAUAAAAUAGGGGUUCCCGAAGAAAUACAUAAAAACAAGAGCAUUAAAAUUUCCUUUUCAGAUCUGGCUAUCUGGUAAAAGGAGUUGGAGUAACUGAGUUUCCAAAUUUGUGACGUAGCUCUAUAGAAGGAAUAUAAAUACGUUGGAAAAAUUCUAUAAGGAAAGGUUUAAUACAAGUAGGGCUAAGAAAAACUCAAUGAGGCUUUGGUCGCAUGGUCACAAAACUUGAGACAAGAAACACGAAGACACCAAGGUAAUUAGUAUGAGAGUUUUCCAAAUUUGGUGUCUUGAUGUAGAAAAAAUAAAUAUAUGACAAAUUUGUUUUUUCGCAAGGCAUGGAUAAAUAGGUGGGGGUGAGCAAUAAAUUUCAUCCUAGAUUUAGAAGGAAUAAAUAUAUCACUAAAUAUGUUUUUUCACAAUGCCAAGUUAAUCAGGUGGGAGCGAGAAACAAUUCUAGCGAGGCUAGGUUGUACUAGCCCAAAACUACAUACAACAGAGGAAAAAUGAAGAAAAUGAUGGUCUACCAAAUAUGGCGCAUGAGCCUUAAGGUGCACCUAGAGGGAAGUAGAAGAAAUAAAUAUAUAAUAGCAUAUAUUUUUCGCAAUGCAUGGUAAAGUGUAGAUGUGCUCUAACUGGGCUUAGAUUGCAGCGACACAUUAUGCAUCUACAAGGCUUGGUUGCACAUGGAAAAAGAUACAGAAAGAAAUGUAGACGCAGGACCGGGAGAAAAACAUUCAAUGAGACGUGAUUGCACAGACAUAGAACUAGAUAUAAGACAAGAGUUAAAGAAAAAUAAAGGAACUAAAUUUUCUUCUGCACACUAAGCAUGAAUGGAGUUGUAGUAUCUGAGAUCAAAAUUUAAUUUAUUCCAAGAUGCAGAACAAAAAUGUGAUACUCGUAAUGGUUACAUAGGAACAAAAGUAGUUAAGAAAAAUAGCAAAAAGAUAGUGGUCUACCAGAGAGGGCACAUGUGCCUCAAUUGGCCUAUAGCAUAGCGACUCAUUAUCCUUCCACCGCUGGUGGCGGGCGGUACUCGCUGCUCUGUGAAGCCAGCCUCACGCAAUGUCCGCCACUUUAGGUGUUGGGAUGCAAAGGCUUUCGCCAAGGCAUCCGAAACCCACUACACAACUUGGAAUGGGUGGUCCACAGUUUGUAGCACUAGACCCAGGCACAUGCACCACAAUUGACAUCCACACUACCUU